GCGGGUGUAGUUCAUCGGCUAGAAUGCAAGUUUUCCAAACUUGAGAGGAGAGUUCGAUUCUCUCUACCCGCACCA
rnacentral:tRNA from 1 species